rnacentral:rRNA from 1 species
UACGUAGGGGGCAAGCGUUGUCCGGAAUUAUUGGGCGUAAAGAGCUCGUAGGCGGCUUGUCGCGUCGACUGUGAAAACUUGGGGCUCAACCCCAAGCUUGCAGUCGAUACGGGCAGGCUAGAGUUCGGUAGGGGAGACUGGAAUUCCUGGUGUAGCGGUGAAAUGCGCAGAUAUCAGGAGGAACACCGAUGGCGAAGGCAGGUCUCUGGGCCGAUACUGACGCUGAGGAGCGAAAGCGUGGGGAGCGAACAGG